rnacentral:rRNA from 1 species
AACGAACGCUGGCGGCAUGCCUAACACAUGCAAGUCGAACGAACCCUUCGGGUCUUGUGGCGCACGGGUGCGUAACGCGUGGGAACCUGCCCUUAGGUUCGGAAUAACUCCCCGACAGGGGUGCUAAUACCGGAUAAUGUCUUCGGACCAAAGAUUUAUUGCCGUUGGAUGGGCCCGCGUUGGAUUAGCUAGUUGGUAGGGUAAAAGCCUACCAAGGCGACGAUCCAUAGCUGGUCUGAGAGGAUGAUCAGCCACACUGGGACUGAGACACGGCCCAGACUCCUACGGGAGGCAGCAGUGGGGAAUAGUGGACAAUGGGCGAAAGCACGAUCCAGCAAUGCCGCGUGAGUGAUGAAGGCCUUAGGGUUGUAAAGCUCUUUUACCCGGGAUGAUAAUGACAGUACCGGGAGAAUAAGCCCCGGCUAACUCCGUG